GUUUUCGAAAAAGCAUGGAAGAUGCAUUAUGGGAGAGGGGAGAGAAAGCACGAAUGCUCAGCAAUCGUUUGAAAAAUGUUGACAACUCUUCGACGUUUGCCUUUCAUUUAAAAGAAAGGGGGAAAAAAAAAGCCAGUCGAAUGUUGUAAUCUAUUCUGAGAUUCGUGAGUGUGUGUUGCUAAAUGAUUUAAUGAUCAGCCUUUCUCUGUGUUCUUCGCGGAGCUAACAUAUGUUUGUUUACAUCAUCACUGGCGGUUUUAUAAGCUUUUGUGGAAAAUUAUUUUUUUAAACAACAAUGUGUAUCACUGCUACCCUUGAACCAUAAGAGUCGAAAGAAGCCAUGCAUACGAUCUCUGCAAAUGUCAACAUCGUCAGAGCCCAUAAUGUCAAGAGGGUAAACAGACACUGAUUAGAAAUGAGAUAUCAUUUAUAAUAUCACCAUAGCAACGCUAACACUAAAGGCAAUUUUAUCAAGAUAGAGAGCUAGGAUGGGAGGCAACCUCUUGAGAGCGUUCUUCUGGGUCUGGCUGCAGCAACUUGCGGCCCACAACAUUAUGUCCCAUUCAGUAAUGUACAACACAAGUUUGAGUUGCCUUACAUGUUAUAAUGGGCAACCAUCUGUCGACUGUGUAACGUUUGUGAACGCCAGUGAAAUUCCUGUUGAGAUAUGUGGUCAGCAUCAACCAUUUUGUAAAGUACGUAGACUGCACACGGAGGACAAACUGACCAGCUUGGAGCGUGGAUGUGAUGACCAGUGCACGCCAGGCUGCACGGACACUGGCCUGUAUUUGGAGUGUUUUUCCUGCUGUUCGGAGUCGUUGUGUAACGCUGACAAUCUUGCGAAAUCAAUUCAUAACGCAGAACUGUUCAUUCCAUGGACUAUACAGAAACUAAUUGUGUCAGUAGUCUUCAUAAUUAAGUACAUUUGAAAUUGCCUUUGGAAUGGGACUACAGAUGCGAAUGAAAAUAUACACUUGAAUAUUAUUGAUUAAUGAAGCUAUUUAUGCAAUAUAUGUCAGGCAUGAUGACGUUUUUUCGCCUUCAUGAGUUGCUGUCGAUUACAAUUUAAAUUGUUUUUUUCUUCAUCUUAGUUUAUUUUUAUGCCAUAUAGUCCGAUUACUAGUUUAUUUUUAUGCCAUAUAGUCCGAUUACUAGUUUAUUUUUAUGCCAUAU